rnacentral:lncRNA from 1 species
GUUUUUCAGGAAUUUCUUUCAGGUUCAAAUGUCCUUGGCUGGAAGGAGACCCACACAGACACAUUUGGGAGAAAUCUGAUAAUGGCUGAAGAGUUUGGGACAAACCUGAGGCACACGUGGGGCUUAAUGUUCAGGUUGUGAGUGUUCGUUCAGCACCCUUUGUUUCCUGACUGGACUUUGAAAGGAGGCCACCCUCUUGCCCUUCUUCGGUGGAACAAAACAGACAAAAUAUGCAGAUUCUUAACUCAACACACCACGUUGAAUAGCAUGUGGAAAAUUGGCAUUUCCAGUGAAUAAAAAUUAACUGGCAAACAACAAAAGGAAAAACGGAGGAAUGCUGUUGGAUGCUGUUUGGCUCGUCUUGUCUUGUCAGAGAAGGAACACGUGUGAAUCAAAUGGUUGAAGAUGAAUUUUACCUACACGUCUGGCUCCUGUUCAGAUGUUUUAGAUUUCUUAGUCAACUUUAUUUGCUUGUGUUUCUUUAAAAAAUGGUGUUUGCUCAUGUUAAAACAGGGAACUAAGCUGUAUGUAGAAAAUAAUGAUUUACCUUCUGAAACUGCAAUACGCACAAAUGGAGCAAGAAGAAUACAGGUACAGUGCCUGGCUACCCUAGUUCCUCAGGUACAUUUUCCACUUUCCAUGUUCCUAUACGACAGUGUCACAGAUUUCUGCCACUGUGUCAUAAAGAUCACUUUCCUCCUGUAUCCAGCAACAUUCUCUCACAUUCCUGUGAGCCCUCCCAACAGCCUCAGAGGUGGCUAA